rnacentral:lncRNA from 1 species
UGGAACCAUGAAGAAUUCAACUUCGACUAUACUGUGUUUUAUACUCCUUUUGGAGUAUAAAGGCCAAUCAUCUCAAUAAAAUGUUCUUAUUUUUCAGAAUCCAAAUGGCUCCUCAAAAGCAAUCCAACCCAAAAACAGACCCUGGCACUAUUGCAGAGAAAAAGACGUUUAACAAAAAGAGUGGCGGCAGAAACAGUACAGUACUAAAUGGAAAGUUCAAAAUUCGAAGAGGAGAAGAGGAAAGCUGCUAUCCAGAAGUACCAUAAGGAACUGAAGAAAGAAAAAAUUCAAUUACCUCAAUCCAAACCUAACACAAGCAGAAACGAGAAAGAAGAAAGACUCACCGCAUAUCAGUUGGCACAAAAGGAGUAUGAAAAGGUCAAAGAAGAACAAAAAAAGCAGAGGGAAGCAGCCAUUAAAAAGAAACAAGAAAUGAAAAAGCCCUCAACAAAUAUAAACAGAAAAAGAUUGAAAAAUACAAGAAACUAAGUAAGAAAACUAAAAAAGGACAACCAGUUAUGAAGUACCGAUUAGAAAUGUUAUUAAAAAAAUCGAAAAGAAUUACAAAAGCUAACAAAAGUGAAUGUUCUCACAAUUUUUUAAUGUUAUCAUAACCUCCAUUGAAGUUUGCAGAAUUCAUUUCUCUUUCUUAUAAUAUCCAAAAAUGAUUAUUUUUUAUGACUCGCUUCUAUCUCACUUCUGGCAGGGGGCUUCAGAGUGUCGUCAACUCCAGGAAAGAGAAUGUCCGGCAAAAUGUAGAGACCCAAGUAGCAAAUUAUAAUUUUUUUCUAGAAAAAAAAAAAAAACUAGAGAAACUUCUAGAAAAUACCAAGAAAAUGAGAGUUAUCUAAAAAGAGAAAGAAAAUACAUUGCGAGUCAAAAGUCUGACCAAAGAAAAUAGAUCUAUUUCAUAUUUCUACUUUCUGUCAACUUUCCAUUUGGAAAAAAGAUAGAAAAUUUAUUGAAAGUAGAAUUAUUUUCUAGCCAAUUUCUUAAUGUUUUCUUUUAAGAAAAUGCAAGGAAAAAAUGUAUUUUCUUUCUAUUUUCUUGUGUCUAUUUUCUAGAUCUACUUUAUACUUACUUUCUUUCAAGAAAAUUGUUCCAUCUAGAAAGUAGACAUUUUCUUGAUGAGCGCCACCUAGAAAGUAGAUGACAAUACUACUUGGGGAGAAAGAAAUAGUCUCUUGUGCUUGAAAGCCAUGUGAAAAUUCAGUAAGUAGGUGUAAGCAGACAUUUUGAGUAUCUUGAACUGAACGUUCUUAAAAUCAAGCGCAUUAUGUAUAUUGCAUACAUUUCCAGUAGCUUGAACUGAAUUUUCUACGGAACAAAAAAUAUCAAAGGUAACACUCCGUAAAUUGUUCUAUCUUGCAAAAAAUUCCGUCUUGUUGAUUUAAUUAUGAAUAUCCAGGCCAUAUUUAGCAGAUUAUCCAUUCACUUAAAAAGGACAAAGCACCACAUUCUAGCCAACCCUGUUGAAAUGAAACUUCUUUUGAUCAGUUAGAGUUACGCAUGUUUAUUAACAUGUUUUCUUUUUAUUUUCACUGCCAAAAUUCAUGUUACUUUACAAGCCAAUAUUUCAUAUAACUGUCUAUAGAGAGCAUUUUGUUUUUAUAAGUAGUAUCAUUACUAGGUGCCCACCUCUUUCCAAUUUUCAAGGAGACAACAUGGAAAUGAUAUUUUUCAGUACCUAUUGAGAUCUAAGUGCAUUGUUUUCCUUUCCAUGUAUAAUGUUCUUUGUUAUGAUUGGAGCAUCGCAAUAAAAUAUUUCAGUGAACAACUCAUUGCUUGUUUUAAUGUGUCUCAUUACAUCUUUGACCAUUCACUCAAAACGUAUCUUUGCAAAAUAUCCCUGCCAAAAAUAGAUGAUAAAGCAGCUCAAUAACUUGUAUAAAUGUUGCGCUCAAGGAGCAGUCGGUACGUAAUAUUUUGACUUUUUUCCGGCAGUUUUCCAUUUUUGUUCCAAAUGUAUAUACCUAUCUUAAUUGCACCAUCAGGCCCGUACCCAUGGGUUCAUCAGUCUUAAAAUCAUUAAUUUGCUUACUUUUAAAAUGAAAACUUGUCAGAAAUGUCCCUUGGGGCAGGAAAUGAUGAAUGGUGGCACUCCAUUCUCCGUCAAAUCUUCCGUCAAAUUUUGACAUUGACGUAUAAUGAAUUUUGAUCAAAGAGGACUGUUGCAUAAGAACUAGGAACUAGGGCACGAUGAUUUUUAAAUUGAAGAAAGUUUCGCGGUAUCAGUGUUGCCUUUCUUCCAAAUUGACACGCAUUUCAAUGAAAUAAAACCUAAAACAAUGAGCCUGGAUUUCGUGGACAUUAGAUAUUAACUUUCAAAUUGAUCGUUUAAGAAUGAGUUAAUCUAUUUUGUACUUUCUGAAAACUUUGUAUCAGCCUUUACCUUUGAUUUUCAUUAAUUUUAUCCAAAGACAUCUCAAAACGAGUUCUUUUCAAGCUAACGUCGACGGACACCUGGUAACUUUCAUGACGUCACCUUGAAAAGUCACGUGAUCGCUGUCAUCUGUGAGAAAGAUCAACAAAACAGGCUCGCUGAAGCCCAUCCCAUCCUGAGAUUGUGGACGUUUUGUUAAUUUU